ACGGGAGGCAGCAGUGGGGGAUAUUGCACAAUGGGGGAAACCCUGAUGCAGCGACGCCGCGUGAGUGAAGAAGUAUUUCGGUAUGUAAAGCUCUAUCAGCAGGGAAGAUAAUGACGGUACCUGACUAAGAAGCUCCGGCUAAAUACGUGCCAGCAGCCGCGGUAAUACGUAUGGAGCAAGCGUUAUCCGGAUUUACUGGGUGUAAAGGGAGCGCAGGCGGCAGGCCAAGUCAGAUGUGAAAACCCGGGGCUCAACCCCGGGACUGCAUUUGAAACUGGUCAGCUAGAGUGCGGGAGAGGCAAGUGGAAUUCCUAGUGUAGCGGUGAAAUGCGUAGAUAUUAGGAGGAACACCAGUGGCGAAGGCGGCUUGCUGGACCGUAACUGACGCUGAGGCUCGAAAGCGUGGGGAGCAAACAGGAUUAGAUACCCUGGUA
rnacentral:rRNA from 2 species